CUGCCCACAGGCCGGAUUUAGAAGGUGAUUGGGCCGCAUCCGGCCCAUGGGCCUUAGGUUGCUUACCCCGAUCUAAGCCAACCCUCUCCUUGCUCUGCUAGUUUCCCAUACUGCUGGGACCGUUCGAAAAUAGGAUUCCCCCGCCUGAAGCCUGGUGUGAUACGUUCUGCUCUAGCUCCUCACCCCUCACAGACCAUACACAGCAGAAAGGCCUGAGGAUCCUUGAAGAAGAGCUUGCCUCCUCAGAGGGCUAUGAGAGGGGGCAGCCCUUUAUGGUACAGACUGAAAGAAGUGAGAGCAAGAACUGCAGAGUCUCUGGGCCAGAACUCAAGAACCAUCCAGUCAUUUGAUUGAUGUUCAGAGGAGCAUGGAUACAGGAUAUGCAUCCAGAUGAACAUACGUAUAUGGAAUGCUUAAAUCUCCCUUGCUGGACUGGAACAAUUCAUCAGCAAAAAGGAAUACAGGUGGCAAAUCCCACAGUUUCUACAUGACAUACCAUAACUUUGUGGAACCUGCAACCAAACAUAAAGACACCAACAUUUGAUUGAAAUGUUCUACAGCACUUGGAGCAACAAUAUCUUAAGAACAGCUGGUUGUUGGGGAAAAUGCAGACUGAAUGAACUGUACAAUUUCUUAAAGGAAGUAUGUAUUGUAUAAAGCGAACUGGAUCAAUUACAGCCCUUCCCCUAUUUGCGCUCACAAUCCAGUGCUCAACAGAAGAAGAAGGAGAUGUUCAGUGAUGCUUCCUUCUCCCUGCAUUCACCCAGACCACUGCUUCCUCUGGAGCAAAUUUUCAAAGGAUACAAGAGGCUUGCAGGAGGAAGAAAUAGCAAAAAUCUCUUAUCUCCCCACCUAUGAACAGGAGCACUCUUUUUAUUUGUAGCACGUUUUACAAUAUCCUUAUUAUCAUUACUUCAAAGCAAGAGCUUCAUUGGCUCCCAGUUCACUUCCUAUACAGUGCCCUGGAUAUUUUAAUUGAAGGAACUGUGUGUGUGUUUGAAAAAGCAUCCUGCACACAAGCCAAAAAAAAAAUUAAAAAAAAAUAAAGAUACAAGACAUUAUUUGUAACUACUUCAAUGGAAAUGUAUGAAUUCCUUGUCCUCUUACUUUCA